rnacentral:rRNA from 1 species
UACGAAGGGUGCAAACGUUGCUCGGAAUUAUUGGGCGUAAAGCGCACGUAGGCGGCUUUUCAAGUCCCAUGUGAAAUCCCACGGCUUAACCGUGGAAGUGCAUGGGAACUGGAAGACUUGAGUACUUAAGAGGAUCGCGGAAUUCCCGGUGUAGAGGUGAAAUUCGUAGAUAUCGAGAGGAACACCUGCGGCGAAGGCGGGUUGCUGGGCUGAUACUGACGCUGAUGCGCGAAGCCAGGGAGCGAACGGG